rnacentral:rRNA from 1 species
UAUCAGAUUAGGUAGUUGGUGAGGUAAAGGGACUCACCAAGCCGACGAUCUGUAGCUGGUCUGAGAGGACGACCAGCCACACUGGGACUGAGACACGGCCCAGACUCCUACGGGAGGCAGCAGUGGGGAAUUUUGGACAAUGGGCGCAAGCCUGAUCCAGCAAUGCCGCGUGCAGGAUGAAGGCCUUCGGGUUAUAAACUGCUUUUGUACGGAACGAAACGGUGAGCUCUAAUACAGUUUGCUAAUGACGGUACCGUAAGAAUAAGCACCGGCUAACUACGUG